rnacentral:rRNA from 1 species
GGAACGGAGCUAAUACCGGAUAAUAUUUUGAACCGCAUGGUUCAAAAGUGAAAGACGGUCUUGCUGUCACUUAUAGAUGGAUCCGCGCUGCAUUAGCUAGUUGGUAAGGUAACGGCUUACCAAGGCAACGAUGCAUAGCCGACCUGAGAGGGUGAUCGGCCACACUGGAACUGAGACACGGUCCAG